GGGGCUGCCUGGGCCGGGCCUGCCCGGCUCGGGGAGCGCUGAGGGAAAGCAGCGGGACGCGAGGGGCAGGAGGAGGGCGGAGAGCGGCCAGCAAGCCGGGAGAGGUGAUUGUCCCUCUCGUCUCUGGUGAGACCCUCCCUGCCUGGCCUUCCGCGUCCGGCUGUGUGGGCCCCAGCACAGGAAAGGCAUGGACGUGUUGGAGCCAGCUCAGAGGAGGGACACCAGGGUACACUGGUCAUACAUCUAAGUGCUUUUGAAUGGGAAGCUUUAUUGAUAUUGAAAGCAAGCUCUCUACACAAAGGACCCUGUGUAAUAUAAAAGCUGAGGAAGUUACAGCAGCUGACUGGAAAGCUACUGACACUCACAGAAAGGAUGGCCAGACUUUGCAAACCCAUUUCUGACAGUGCACAAAUAAACAACUGAGGGUGGAUUUAACAAUGCAGACAAUAUUAAUCCUUCUCCAUUCCUGCUGUCUUGAAGAUCUGAAAGGUACAUCAGCAUCACUGCCUGCGGAGUAAGGAAACUACUCAGGGCUUCUUGGAAGGUGAACUCACUAUGUGCCACUCAGCUCAGUUUCAAGUUGGCUUGAGCCCUACACUAUAUUAAUACCUACAAUCCUCUCUCUUCUAUGGGGGAGAACAACAGAGAUGAUGAUCUAUCUAUGCCAAAAGGCAAUGGUCUUGUGGUGAUGGCACAGACUGUGGUGUGAAAUAGCAAAAGAAGAUGGAAGAGAAAACCCACAGGCUUUUGAACACAGGAAUUUUUCUUUUCCAUCAUUCAUUUUGGGUAGCUGAAAACACGGAGUUUCUGAGCAGGAUAUUUUCAUGUGCUGGUUUUGUUUUGUGGGUUUUCUGAAAGAAUAGUGUAGGAAGUUAUGUUAACAAGAAACAAACCCAUUUUUUCCUGUCAAAGGGGAUAGGCAUUUAAUCCCUGAAGUGAUUCUAAAGGUCAGUGAAGAUACAUUGAUGCUCUUUCAACCUGCAAGUAAGUAAUUGCUUGGGUCUGCCAAAGAACCAAGUAGGUUUACACAUAUCUAUAUAUUCAGUUAGUUAGUCAAGUAUUUCCGGUUGAUUAGUGCCUAAAAUACUAUCUGGCUGCUUUCUCUUAAAUAACUCAAAUAGUCCAUCCUGUUAGAACUACUCUGAGCUUCAUCACAGUGAUCACACCUGCAUACAAAUGUAGAAUUUGCUUGCUAAAGUGAACCCAAAAAUACCUCUUGUAAGAACAAUAACAACAGCAGUUCAAGCUUGGCCAGGACUCAGAACAUGCCAAGAGCACAAGUCUCAUGAACAGAUUGUCUCCAAAGGCUUAAGAGAACAUUGUGGGAAAGAUGAAAUCAUAUGAAGACAAGAGAGGGAACUGCAUUUCUUACGUGUCCCCUUUCUUGUGAUAAAUGUAAUGUAACACUAACUAAUGAUUUAGACUGUUUACUCUUACUGUAACAGAAUAAAAUCGUGUUCAGGCAGAGUCCACCUUUCCCUUUCAGUGCUGUGUUUCCUCGGCUAGUUCUUGGCCCAGCUGGAGAAGUGGCAGGACAUGUCACAUACAUAUGGACAUUAUGUGGCUGGCUGGGUGUUUUUCCCCCCCAUGUUGUUUAAGCAGGCUUAGAGCAGUCCUGAAGAGCAUUAACAUGCUGCCUCUGACAGCUGAGAGUGUUUUGCCACAGGUGUAGUUUUCCCCAGAGGACUCUGAGUCUGAAUGCUGAAGAGGGAAGAGAACAGACGUCCUUUGUUGUCCUUGAUUGGAAAGGGGUGUGUAGCACUCAGCAGAGGGUUUAUUUAACAGCUUGCUUGUAUCCACGGGGCGGUAUCAAACAGUAAAAUAUUGGUAAGAAAUAAGUUUAGCGGGGCAUUCUACUUUCACACUGCCCAGCAAUAAACUGUAAAAAUCAUCCCUGAAAUACGCCUGCUGUGAUGAAGAGUUACAAGUGGGUUAUAAUUCACCAGACAUUUCUAAAAGCAGUGAUAUGCAAGAGGAAGACAGACCACUGCAGCAGAUGAUGUAGGAGUAGAGAGAUUACUGAGUAGGAGAAGCUAGAAGGAGAAAUUACUUCUCGUGACACCAGGGAGGCACGUUUCAAACUUGGCUUAUAAUUGUAUGUACUUUACCUGUCUCUGAAAUUCUCUGACGUAUAUUAAUGUUACAACAAUCUAUAUGAACAAAAUGGGCAGCAUGCCAAAGGGGGCUGUAAUUUUCAAGUACCUCCGUAUUGUUAUUGGAGUGGGGAGGAGGAUAUCCACUAACAGUGUAAUUAUGUGGCAAUUCCAGGGAAAUUGAUUAUUAUUAGCUUUUUAUGAUCACACUAACAAAGUCAAUGAUCCAAGAUAAAAUAGCAAAAAUCAGUGCUUGAACAAUAUUCAGCAACAAGGUAUCACCAGGUGAGAGUGGAUGCAUCUGAAACCAGAUAAUUCCUGAAAGGGAAAUGGCCAUCUCCCACCAAUUAUAACGAUGGAUGUGCUCUAUUAAAGCCUGAUCCACUUUAACGGGGGGCUCCCAGCCUGAGAGGCCACGUAAGUAUGCAAUGACACAUACAGGAUCGAGAAGUGGGUGGGUGUUUAUUCUAAAUACCCACAUCACUGGGGUAUUUGCACUUUUAACCAACAGAGAGAAUUACAGGUAGUGAAUACAGAUCGAUUUCUACCAGUUGGUUAUUGCUUUAACAAAAUCUUUUGUCAUUUUUUCUAACAUCCGCCUUCAGUCCCCCAAACACAGCAUGGAGACUGGUACCUGCAUAGUCAGAACUAUCACUUGUCAGCCAUGUCUUCCCCUUUGAGGCUUCAUGGUUUUAUAUAUAAUAAUUAAAAACACUUCUCUGAGAUGGGAGAAGGCUUUUCUAAAAGGACAGCAAGUUGCUGCAAUACAAUAGCAUAUUAUUUUUGAAGGUCAUAAUAAUAAAGUAGGGGAAAGAGAAUAAUCAUUAUUGCUCUUUCUUGUAAAUAGUUUGCUUUCCGAUAUCCCACACUGUAACUAGAACACUAUUCAAGAACACCCAUCACAGUGCUUAACAAGAUUUAAUGUACAUUUAUUCUUAACAUGUGGAACAUAUAAAGAUUUUAUACUGAAUAAAUGAAAUUCAUUAAGCCAGAGGAAAAGGAGGAAUUUACAUCAAGUUUUUUCUUUUUUAACUACAUUAUCUUGAAAUACAAAUGCAGAUUCUUGUCACUGAAAAAUCUUUGAAGUUGUGUUUCUUCCUUUUUUUUUUUUUCCUGUAUAUAUUUUUUUGUCUGUAGACUGGUAACCAUUUUCUUAAAUCAAUCCAUACGUAACCAUUUCCACACCUUGAUUUAUAAAGCAAAUUGUGAUCGGCUGCUCUCCCGAAAUAGAGCAUGACUUUAUACAUACAGAAACUUGUACAUUACCCUCAGUUGUUGGUUUUCUGUGUUGGGUUUUUUUCUUUUUUCUUUUUUUUUUUUAUUAUUUUUUGGAGAUAUGGCCCAAAUGAAAGAAAAAAUAAUUCUACUAUCACUUUGUAGAUACCACAUCAUGAAAAAGAAACUAAAAACUUUGUACUAAAAAAAAAAAAAA